rnacentral:rRNA from 1 species
UGCUGGUGUUUUACCUAGAUGUGAUCCACCUGAUUCCAUUCCGAACUCAGUAGUGAAAGCAUCUAGGCCCAAUGAUACUUGGUGCCAAUCCGCGCCUGGGAAAGUAGGGUACGCCAGUAA